UGGGGAAUAUUGCACAAUGGGGGAAACCCUGAUGCAGCCAUGCCGCGUGUGUGAAGAAGGCCUUCGGGUUGUAAAGCACUUUCAGCGAGGAGGAAAGGUUGAUGCCUAAUACGCAUCAGCUGUGACGUUACUCGCAGAAGAAGCACCGGCUAACUCCGUGCCAGCAGCCGCGGUAAUACGGAGGGUGCAAGCGUUAAUCGGAAUUACUGGGCGUAAAGCGCACGCAGGCGGUUGGAUAAGUUAGAUGUGAAAGCCCCGGGCUCAACCUGGGAAUUGCAUUUAAAACUGUCCAGCUAGAGUCUUGUAGAGGGGGGUAGAAUUCCAGGUGUAGCGGUGAAAUGCGUAGAGAUCUGGAGGAAUACCGGUGGCGAAGGCGGCCCCCUGG
rnacentral:rRNA from 1 species